UUUCUGUUCCAGUUUGUAGCAUUUUUCUGCUUGUCCUUUGAAGAGUCUAUAAAUAGCAUUGGAAAAUAAUUCUCAUAUUUAAAGGCACUGCUGGGUCCUCCAUCAGGUUUCUCCUUUCGAGGCACAUUUAGGGGGCGGUGGUCUUCACUGCUGUCCUUCCUGCCUAUUCCAGGGAGCCCUGUGCUGUAGCUCCUCUGUGUUCUCACCACUCAGGGAAAAAGCAGCUGUCUGUCCUCCACCACUCCCAGCCAGUGCCCUGUGCAGACCCAACUCCUUUCAUCCUCCCACCUGAGGCAGCCCCUCCUGCAACUGUCUUUCUCCUUCUCUGAACUUGCUCCAGUGGGCCUCACCCUCCAGGGACCAGAUGCCUGAGACCUGAAAUUCAGAGCCACAUGUCACCGCUGCUCCCUGUUUGGCCGGGAGGGAACUUCCUGGCACGGGGACCUCAUCAGAUACAACUUCCUAAUCCCUCCCAUUUCCCCCAGUCCUCCUACCUAGGAGGCUCCCCUCAACUUCAGCCUAUUGAAGACCCAGCCUCUGUUCUCCUUCCGCCUUCCUGGGGUACAGGUGAGGUCUGAUUAUUUGCCCUGUUUAAACAGGCGUGAACACGGUGCCCCAAUCAGGUGGGACAUUGGUCCAGUGGAACUUGGCUAUUGGCUGAGCUGGGCACCCAGCUUGAAAGUCCUGAGGUUCUUUUUUUCACUCUUCUUCACAGUCUAGGUAGGGCAGGGCUGAGAUCAGAAGCCGGCAAUGGCCAGGCAUUGUGGAAUUAGGAAAAGCAUUUGAGAGGGAGUCAGCAAGUCUGGGUUUGAGUCACACCUCCACCAUCUGGUAGCCUUGGGAUCACAGGUGAUCUAGCCCAGCAGUUCUCAAUCAGAUGAUUACAGCCCCCCCAGGGGGCAUUUAGAGGUGGGUGAAGGUGCUUUUGUGGUCCCAAUAACAGGUGUAUUACCAACACCGUUACAGGGACCAUGGAUGCUAAAUGUCCCACCCAAAAUCCCAGAGCACCCACAUUGAGAAACAUUGAAUUUGCCUCAUUAAAUCUGUCUUUUCUGUAAAAACAAAAUGACUCCAGCUUGUGAAGCACUGUGUAUGUAAGAGACUCGUGGAGUUGUUGUUCUACCCUUGGCUUUCCCCUCCCUGCAGAGGGGCUGAUGGGAGGGCAGGCGUGACCUUCACCCCCAGCACACACCUUCUUACCAGCCCUAGCCACUCUGCUCAGGGGCAUGCUAUGAGUGGGCCAGCGCGCCCCAUCCGUCCUGCUCUCCACAGGAGCAAUGAGCCCACCAGCCCAGGUUUACUUUUCCUGGCCCCAGCUUUCCAGCCUCUCCACAGCCUGUUCUUCCUUACUGUUAGUUUCUGAUUGCUUUCCACCCUUCAUCAUGAACUCUUCUACAGCCAGGGAGGCCCUUGUGUUCCCAUCUCUGCCCCGGGAGCCUCUCAGGGCAUCAGGCUCCAGACUUCUUCCUCUGUCAUCUGCCUGCUCUCCUGAUGCCUGCUGUGCAGACUCCCUCAAGUUAGGACAGAGUGCUUCCUCUGUGGAGUAGGACCCUCCCUUUCCUUUCUGGGCAUGCUUUUCCUCUGAGCCCACGUUGCCUCCAAGUCCUUUCUUAGUGCACCACUGGAGGAGUCACUGCCAGCCAGACACAGAUGGCCCAAGACUAGCAACGGAUUUCUAGCCCUGGCCCCAGAUAAUGGUUCAUAGGCACGCUGGUCUCUUCCUCAGGUCAUCAUUGUCAUCUACCUGUCCGUGGUGGGUGCCCUGUUGCUCUACAUGGCCUUCCUGAUGCUGGUGGACCCUCUGAUCCGAAAGCCGGAUGCAUACACUGAGCAAUUGCACAAUGAGGAGGAGAAUGAGGAUGCUCGCUCUAUGGCAGCAGCUGCUGCAUCCCUCGGGGGACCCCGAGCAAACACAGUCCUGGAGCGUGUGGAAGGUGCCCAGCAGCGGUGGAAGCUGCAGGUGCAGGAGCAGCGGAAGACAGUCUUCGAUCGGCACAAGAUGCUCAGCUAGAUGGGCUGGUGUGGUUGGGUCAAGGCCCCAACACCAUGGCUGCCAGCUUCCAGGCUGGAGAAAGCAGGGGGCUACUUCUCCCUUCCCUCGGUUCCAGUCUUCCCUUUAAAAGCCUGUGGCAUUUUUCCUCCUUCUCCCUAACUUUAGAAAUGUUGUACUUGGCUAUUUUGAUUAGGGAAGAGGGAUGCGGUCUCUGAUCUCUGUUGUCUUCUUGGGUCUUUGGGGUUGAAGGGAGGGGGAAGGCAGGCCAGAAGGGAAUGGAGACAUUCGAGGCAGCCUCAGGAGUGGAUGCGACCUGUCUCUCCUGGCUCCACUCUUGCUGCCUUCCAGCUCUGAGUCUUAGGAAUGUUGUUACCCUUGGAAGAUAAAGCUGGGUCUUCAGGAACUCAGUGUCUGGGAGGAAAGCAUGGCCCAGCAUUCAGCAUGUGUUCCUUUCUGCAGUGGUUCUUAUCACCACCUCCCUCCCAGCCCCAGCGCCUCAGCCCCAGCCCCAGCUCCAGCCCUGAGGACAGCUCUGAUGGGAGAGCUGGGCCCCCUGAGCCCACUGGGUCUUCAGGGUGCACUGGAAGCUGGUGUUCGCUGUCCCCUGUGCACUUCUCGCACUGGGGCAUGGAGUGCCCAUGCAUACUCUGCUGCCAGUCCCCUCACCUGCACUUGAGGGGUCUGGGCAGUCCCUCCUCUCCCCAGGGUCCACAGUCACUGAGCCAGACGGUUGGUUGGAACGUGAGACUCGAGGCUGAGCGUGGAUCUGAACACCACAGCCCCUGUACUUGGGUUGCCUCUUGUCCCUGAACUUCGUUGUACCAAUGCAUGGAGAGAAAAUUUUGUCCUUCUCUUGUCUUAGAGUUGUGUGUAAAUCAAGGAAGCCAUCAUUAAAUUGUUUUAUUUCUCUC
rnacentral:sRNA from 1 species